UUCAACCUCUUUCACUGUCAGGUAGUGUGUCGCUGUGAGGUGUAUUUUUGAGCUGAUUCUGCUUCUCCUGUGGCCCUUUUUGUACCUUGUCUGAAAAUGUAGAUGUUUAGACCAUUUUUUUAAAAUUUUGUUUAGGCUUAAUUUUGAUUUUUGUACCUUGAGUAACAUCCUAUGGCAAUGUGUGUCUGUUCAUUCUUUAUUUUUCCUUGAUUUGCCUUCCUUACAUACUAGGAGCCCCGUAGACGACGAUUUUGGGUGCAUCCAUUCCUUCAGGAUCGCUUGUCCAAAGGUUUUCUUUCAGUGGUGUUUCAAGAUUUGAGAAGGGAUGAGGUUAAAUUUAAAAAUUAUUGCCGACUUUCUAUGUCGAUGUUUGAUCAACUUUUUGAAUUUAUCAAAGCUGAUUUGACUAUGACCACUACCUGUAUGCGGAAGCCAAUUUCACCCGAGGAUCGUUUGCUCAUCACCUUGCGAUUUUUAGCCACAGGAGAGAGCUAUGCAUCCCUGCACCUUCAAUUCAG